rnacentral:rRNA from 1 species
UAAACGACUCUCGGCAACGGAUAUCUCGGCUCUCGCAUCGAUGAAGAACGUAGCGAAAUGCGAUACUUGGUGUGAAUUGCAGAAUCCCGCGAACCAUCGAGUCUUUGAACGCAAGUUGCGCCCGAAGCCAUUAGGUUGAGGGCACGUCUGCCUGGGCGUCUCGG